GAUUAAAUGGCUGAAAGUAAAGGUAAUAGAUUGUAAAUUUAUUUAUGAGAAGAAUUCUCUUUAAUCA
rnacentral:tRNA from 1 species